GGGCCCGCCGCCCGGCGCUCCUGAUUGGCCUGCACUGUGUGACGUCACUGGCACGGGGCCUCGCCACAGGCAGGUAUGCAGUGACGCCAUAAAGAAAUCGGAGCGCCUCGGCCAAUCCGCGGCGAAGUGUGCGGGCGAACCCCCACCCCCGGCCGACCCCACCCCCGUCUCCCGGGCGACCGCCCAGAGCCUGGGUUCCCAACUUCCAGAUCUGCGAGCUCUGCCGGCGGUUCUCUGCCAAGGUCCUGCCAAGUUGGGUUCUCCGUGGUAUUCGCGCCAAGCGAGAGACCCUCCAGGGCUGCCGGCGUGCGAAGGAGCACUGGCUGGUGCGAUCGUGAAACCGUACAGAGACAGAGCUGAUCUCAGAUUUUAGCACCGCGCAAAUCUGCUGCGCCAGGUUCCCCAACCUGCAGACCGACUCACAGGGCUCUUGAAGGUAUCCAACCUUAUGUUCGAGCAACAUAAGAAAAGGGACCAAGCACUGGCCAGAGGGCCAGGAGGACAGAGUCCAGCCUCAGCUCAGCCCGCCCCAGGUGGUCCUGCCCUGCCCCCUCUCUGAUCCCUGUGUCAGCUUGGGAAAUAGAUCUCCAGCUCUCUCCUCAGGACACUGGGACUUGGCUGUUCUCUCAUGGAUUCUUCAGCACUGCCUAGGAUCCAAGCGGUGUCUCUUUGCCUUGGGCUCCGGCUGCCGGGCCAGCACUGCUGUUCUCCCACUGGGCUGGAAGACAGUGGGAUGGCCGCUUUUGCAGUCAUCAGCUCAGGUCAUUGGAUCCUUCGAAGGUGAGAACAGCUGCCUUUACCCUCACUGUGCAUGGUCCCCCUGCUGGGGGUCAGAGGACAAGAAUGACAUCCUUGGCUGGCCUCCCUGCCUCCCCACCAAGGAGAGGAGCAUCAUCAGUUUCAGGUCUCUUCUGCAGUUCUGCAAGUAUAAAAGCUAUUUAUUCUUUAUCUCCUGAGGUGCUGGGGGAGAAAAGGCUUUGCAAAGACUCUUCUGGCUUUGGAAAAGAACGAGGUACCGAUUCCAAAGCACGGGGGUGAUUUCUCUUUUCCUAACAAACGUCUCCAGGUACGAAGCGGGCCCAGCUUCCCCUGCAUCUCCCCAGGAAAAGGCAGGUAGGGAGGACAGAGGCUCGGCUGGAGCGGGCUGGCUCCUCCACAGCAGUAAUUUCCUUUCUCCAGUUUUGAAAGCAGAGUCAAGUGAUUAGCCCAGAGUGAGGAGAUAUGGGAAGGAAAACCCAGAAGGCUGGGAUGGCCUGUAAUACAGGCAAUCUGUUUCUGGAAAUCGUCAGCCAGAGGUAGUUGUCAUUGAACAGUGUGUGUGUAAAGAAGAGCAAUUAUGCUUGCAAUUAUGUUUACAUGUUAGCUUCAUUAGUUUGUGCAUCAUUACACAUUAUAUUUUAAAGACAUAAAUAUAAUUUAAGUACAAGAUGUUGCUCAAUGGUAUAGCACUUGCCUAGCAAUGAGUAUGAGGCCCUGAGUUUGACCUCCAGUAUAAAAAAAAUUAAAAAUAAUACAAAGGCUGGACUCCAUUAAAGAAUGGUGUUCUCAAGAAAGAAAAAUUUCAGUAGGUUUUUUAAAAAGUAUUUCAGCCAUCUAAGCAUAUACCUACAAUACUAGCUACUCAGGAGGCUGAAGUGGGAGAAUUUCAAAUUCAAGCAAAAGCCUGGGCCAUUUAGCAAGAUUGGUUCAAAAUAAGGUUUAUAAAGUGGUGGCUUAUAGCUCAGGACAGAGCACUUUCCCAGCAUGCCUGAAUUUCUGGGUUAAAUUUCCAUUACUAAAAACAAGACAAAAACCUAUACCCCUGCCUUGUAUCUACCUCCCAAUAUAACAUUAAAACACAUUUAGGAAAAUCGAAGUGAAGAAUUUGAAAACUAGAUUUUCUUUAGCCAGCAUGCCUGACUCCUGGACCCUGCUGCCCAGUAAACUUUCCAAAUGACAAACCUAACUGUAUCAUUUUAUUAAUUAAAAUGCUUUCCCCAGUGAAA